GCAGGUAUAGUUCAAUGGUAGAACAUCAGCCUUCCAAGCUGAUUAUGAGGGUUCGAUUCCCUUUACCUGCUCCA
rnacentral:tRNA from 1 species